ACCUGCGGAAGGAUCAUUC
rnacentral:ncRNA from 6 species